UACGUAGGGUGCAAGCGUUAAUCGGAAUUACUGGGCGUAAAGGGCGCGUAGGCGGUCUUGCAAGUCCCGUGUGAAAUCCCUCGGCUCAACUGAGGAACUGCACGGGAAACUGCUUGGCUUGAGUUCGGGAGAGGGAAGCGGAAUUCCGGGUGUAGCGGUGAAAUGCGUAGAUAUCCGGAGGAACACCGAUGGCGAAGGCAGCCCCCUGGGUCAAGAUUGACGCUCAUGCACGAAAGCGUGGGGAGCAAACAGG
rnacentral:rRNA from 1 species